AGAACGAACGCUGGCGGCAUGCCUAACACAUGCAAGUCGAACGCUUCCGGGGCUUCGGUCGCGGAGGAGUGGCGCACGGGUGAGUAGCGCGUGGGAACCUGCCCUGUUGUGGGGGAUAACCGAGGGAAACUUCGGCUAAUACCGCAUACGCCCCGGGACUUGGUCUUCGGAUUAGGUCUGGGGGGAAAGAUUGAUCGCAGCAGGAGGGGCCCGCGUCGGAUUAGCUGGUUGGUGGGGUAACGGCUCACCAAGGCGAUGAUCCGUAGCUGGUCUGAGAGGAUGAUCAGCCACACUGGGACUGAGACACGGCCCAGACUCCUACGGGAGGCAGCAGUGGGGAAUAUUGGACAAUGGGGGCAACCCUGAUCCAGCAAUGCCGCGUGAGUGAUGAAGGCCUUAGGGUUGUAAAGCUCUUUCGCCCGCGACGAUGAUGACGGUAGCGGGAGAAGAAGCCCGGCUAACUUCGUGCCAGCAGCCGCGGU
rnacentral:rRNA from 1 species